rnacentral:rRNA from 1 species
UACGUAGGGUGCGAGCGUUAAUCGGAAUUACUGGGCGUAAAGCGUGCGCAGGCGGUUCGUGAUGUCUGAUGUGAAAGCCCCGGGCUCAACCUGGGGAAUUGCAUUGGAAACUAGCGGGCUGGAGUGUGGCAGAGGGGGGUGGAAUUCCACGUGUAGCAGUGAAAUGCGUAGAGAUGUGGAGGAACACCGAUGGCGAAGGCAGCCCCCUGGGCUAACACUGACGCUCAUGCACGAAAGCGUGGGGAGCAAACAGG